rnacentral:tRNA from 1 species
AAGGGGCGUAUUGAACAAAAAGAACUGCUAAUUCUUCCUACUGAAGUUAAAAUCCUCAGGCCCCUU